AACGAACGCUGGCGGCAGGCCUCAAACAUGCAAGUCUAGGGGGUGUAGCAAUACAUCACCGGCGGACGGGUGCGUAACGCGUGGGAAUAUACCUAUCGAUUCGGAACAACUGAGGGAAACUUCAGCUAAUACCGAAUACGUCCUAACGGAGAAAGAUUUAUCGUCGAUAGAUUAGCCCGCGUUCGAUUAGCUAGUUGGUGGGGUAACGGCCCACCAAGGCGACGAUCGAUAGCUGUUCUGAGAGGAAGAUCAGCCACACUGGGACUGAGACACGGCCCAGACUCCUACGGGAGGCAGCAGUUGGGAAUCUUGGACAAUGGGGGGAAACCCUGAUCCAGCCAUGCCGCGUGAGUGAUGAAGGCCUUCGGGUUGUAAACUCUUUCGCGCACGACGAUAAUGACGGUAGUGCGAGAAGAAGCUCGGCUAACUUCGUGCCAGCAGCCGCGGUAAU
rnacentral:rRNA from 1 species